rnacentral:rRNA from 1 species
UACGUAGGUGGCAAGCGUUGUCCGGAAUUAUUGGGCGUAAAGCGCGCGCAGGCGGCCUUUUAAGUCUGAUGUGAAAGCCCACGGCUCAACCGUGGAAGGUCAUUGGAAACUGAAAGGCUUGAGUACAGAAGAGGAAAGCGGAAUUCCACGUGUAGCGGUGAAAUGCGUAGAGAUGUGGAGGAACACCAGUGGCGAGGGCGGCUUUCUGGUCUGUAACUGACGCUGAGGCGCGAAAGCGUGGGGAGCAAACAGG